UGGGGAAUAUUGGACAAUGGAGGAAACUCUGAUCCAGCAAUUCUGUGUGUGUGAAGAAGGCUUUAGGACUGUAAAACACUUUUAGUAGGGAAGAAAAAAAUGACGGUACCUACAGAAGAAGCAACGGCUAAAUACGUGCCAGCAGCCGCGGUAAUACGUAUGUUGCGAGCGUUAUCCGGAAUUAUUGGGCUUAAAGGGCAUCUAGGCGGUAAGACAAGUUGAAGGUGAAAACCUGUGGCUCAACCAUAGGCUUGCCUACAAAACUGUUGAACUAAAGUACUGGAAAGGUGAGUUGAACUACACGGGUAGAGAUGAAAUUCGUAGAUAUGUGUAGGUAUGCCGAUGAUGAAAAUAACUCACUGAACAGAAACUGACGCUGAAUUGCGAAAGCUAGUGGAGCGAACAGG
rnacentral:rRNA from 1 species